rnacentral:rRNA from 1 species
GAUGAACGCUGGCGGCGUGCCUAAUACAUGCAAGUCGAGCGAACGGACGAGAAGCUUGCUUCUCUGAUGUUAGCGGCGGACGGGUGAGUAACACGUGGAUAACCUACCUAUAAGACUGGGAUAACUUCGGGAAACCGGAGCUAAUACCGGAUAAUAUUUUGAACCGCAUGGUUCAAAAGUAAAAGACGGUCUUGCUGUCACUUAUAGAUGGAUCCGCGCUGCAUUAGCUAGUUGGUAAGGUAACGGCUUACCAAGGCAACGAUGCAUAGCCGACCUGAGAGGGUGAUCGGCCACACUGGAACUGAGACACGGUCCAGACUCCUACGGGAGGCAGCAGUAGGGAAUCUUCCGCAAUGGGCGAAAGCCUGACGGAGCAACGCCGCGUGAGUGAUGAAGGUCUUCGGAUCGUAAAACUCUGUUAUUAGGGAAGAACAUAUGUGUAAGUAACUGUGCACAUCUUGACGGUGCCUAAUCAGAAAGCCACGGCUAACUACGUG